UUGCCUCCAAAUCCACUGCCUCCUUCACCGGAUGCGAGCCCAAGGGAAUGAGCUUGCAUCCUCUGCUCGUGUUGCGGUGGAUGCGGUGGUGACUGCUGUGGGAAGGUAGGCCGCACUCGAGUCUCGGGCCAGAUCCUCUGUAGUGGUGGCUGCCUAAGUAGUGGAAAAGGCCCAUGCUCGCGUGGCCUUGGAGCGGGACCUCGACAUCCAACACCUUCAACCAUGAAUUUCGUCACCGUGGUGGUGAUGGCAAUGGGAUGGCCGGUGUGGUGGCAGUGGUGUAAUCCGGCAAUGUAAAUGCCAGGUUUUUUAAUAAACGAAUUGUCCUUUUACUUAGUUUAGGCUUUCUC
rnacentral:lncRNA from 1 species